rnacentral:rRNA from 1 species
GAUGAACGCUGGCGGCGUGCCUAAUACAUGCAAGUCGAGCGAACAGACGAGGAGCUUGCUCCUCUGACGUUAGCGGCGGACGGGUGAGUAAAACGUGGAUAACCUACCUAUAAGACUGGGAUAACUUCGGGAAACCGGAGCUAAUACCGGAUAAUAUAUUGAACCGUAUGGUUCAAUAGUGAAAGACGGUUUUGCUGUCACUUAUAGAUGGAUCCGCGCCGCAUUAGCUAGUUGGUAAGGUAACGGCUUACCAAGGCAACGAUGCGUAGCCGACCUGAGAGGGUGAUCGGCCACACUGGAACUGAGACACGGUCCAGACUCCUACGGGAGGCAGCAGUAGGGAAUCUUCCGCAAUGGGCGAAAGCCUGACGGAGCAACGCCGCGUGAGUGAUGAAGGUCUUCGGAUCGUAAAACUCUGUUAUUAGGGAAGAACAAAUGUGUAAGUAACUAUGCACGUCUUGACGGUACCUAAUCAGAAAGCCACGGCUAACUACGUG